UCCCCUGUGGUCCAAUGGUGAAGACUCCACACUAUCACUGCAGGGGGCCCAGGUUCGAUCCCUGGUUGGGGAA